UUCAAAUAGUUAGAGAAAUACAUUAAGGGCCUUAUCAAAAAAAGAGAUAAGGGAUAAGAUUCUAAUUUUAUACAAUCUGGGCGUAAACAAGACUUGCACUCUAGCGGAUAAUUUUACAAAGAGGGGACUUUUCAGAAGUAUUUUCGAUGUAUCCGCGGGUGUAUCACAAAUAUUGUGAGGUUGGGUCAGCUGUCAAUAUUAUGUUCUCUUUUCUUCCUUGCCUUCCAUUCCAAUGUUUAUUGUCGCUCGUACGUUACUCACUGCAUCUGUGUGAUACUGCGUUGAACACAACACUGAAAACACUGAAGGAAUUGUUAAGAGAAUCGGCUUAGGUCCGCCUUACAUAUUCGGUACAUUAUUCGUAUUGACGUCCUUUUGUUGGGGACACUCCAUUCAUACCGACAGGUAUAGACAAUCAGUUUGUCGAGCCCUCAGACUAGACGAGAUUUGCAUUUAGCGAAGGAUCGGUAAGAAUCCACCUCAUUCGGAGUGGAGCCAAGUCUAUGAGUCAUCGUGUCAGAGUUUUUCUACAGAUUUAUGGGCGAAGCCUUGGCCGCAAUUGCGAGUUCGCAUUUGCGAACAUGACAUCGCAAAUGCGAUAUCUGUGCCUGUGUAAAAUCAAACUUAGACGAAAUUUUCUUCAUUUGUCAAACUCCCUCAAAUCCUAAGCUCUCUUGGGCGAUUUUCCAAAGAAAAGUUCUUCUCCAAAUCAAUUAUCCUAGUGCUGCAGCUUUUGGACCACAG